AAACAAUCCUGUGAGGAAUCAUUUUUCCAGAUGAAUAAUUUGAGACACAGAACGGUCAAGAAACUUGCCAAAGGCUACAGAUCUGGUGCUUGCCUGCUAUGCUGUCAAAGCUUUGUGAGCACUGUAAUGAGAACAAAAUGGAUGUCCUCAGAAUUAAAACCCCAAGUCAGUAAUGAUUGACCACAAA